rnacentral:rRNA from 1 species
GGCUACCAUGCAAGUCGAGGGGCAGCAUUUCAGUUUGCUUGCAAACUGGAGAUGGCGACCGGCGCACGGGUGAGUAACACGUAUCCAACCUGCCGAUAACUCGGGGAUAGCCUUUCGAAAGAAAGAUUAAUACCCGAUGGNAUAAUCAGACCGCAUGGUCUNAUUAUUAAAGAAUUUCGGUUAUCGAUGGGGAUGCGUUCCAUUAGGCAGUUGGUGAGGUAACGGCUCACCAAACCUUCGAUGGAUAGGGGUUCUGAGAGGAAGGUCCCCCACAUUGGAACUGAGACACGGUCCAAACUCCUACGGGAGGCAGCAGUGAGGAAUAUUGGUCAAUGGGCGCAGGCCUGAACCAGCCAAGUAGCGUGAAGGAUGACUGCCCUAUGGGUUGUAAACUUCUUUUAUAUGGGAAUAAAGUUUUCCACGUGUGGAAUUUUGUAUGUACCAUAUGAAUAAGGAUCGGCUAACUCCGUGCCAGCAGCCGCGGUAAUACGGAGGAUCCGAGCGUUAUCCGGAUUUAUUGGGUUUAAAGGGAGCGUAGGUGGACAGUUAAGUCAGUUGUGAAAGUUUGCGGCUCAACCGUAAAAUUGCAGUUGAUACUGGCUGUCUUGAGUACAGUAGAGGUGGGCGGAAUUCGUGGUGUAGCGGUGAAAUGCUUAGAUAUCACGAAGAACUCCGAUUGCGAAGGCAGCUCACUGGACUGCAACUGACACUGAUGCUCGAAAGUGUGGGUAUCAAACAGGAUUAGAUACCCUGGUAGUCCACACAGUAAACGAUGAAUACUCGCUGUUUGCGAUAUACAGUAAGCGGCCAAGCGAAAGCAUUAAGUAUUCCACCUGGGGAGUACGCCGGCAACGGUGAAACUCAAAGGAAUUGACGGGGGCCCGCACAAGCGGAGGAACAUGUGGUUUAAUUCGAUGAUACGCGAGGAACCUUACCCGGGCUUAAAUUGCAUUUGAAUANUNUGGAAACAGNNUAGCCGCAAGGCAAAUGUGAAGGUGCUGCAUGGUUGUCGUCAGCUCGUGCCGUGAGGUGUCGGCUUAAGUGCCAUAACGAGCGCAACCCUUAUCUUUAGUUACUAACAGGUCAUGCUGAGGACUCUAGAGAGACUGCCGUCGUAAGAUGUGAGGAAGGUGGGGAUGACGUCAAAUCAGCACGGCCCUUACGUCCGGGGCUACACACGUGUUACAAUGGGGGGUACAGAAGGCAGCUACCUGGUGACAGGAUGCUAAUCCCAAAAGCCUCUCUCAGUUCGGAUCGAAGUCUGCAACCCGACUUCGUGAAGCUGGAUUCGCUAGUAAUCGCGCAUCAGCCAUGGCGCGGUGAAUACGUUCCCGGGCCUUGUACACACCGCCCGUCAAGCCAUGAAAGCCGGGGGUACCUGAAGUACGUAACCGCAAGGAGCUCCUAG